GUAGGUUUGUAGCUCACAGGCUAUUGGAAUGAGGCUCAAAGUAAGUCACUUCCAAAUCAAAUGACACUAUUUGUGUCAGUUGGAGGAGGUGGAGAUUUAUAACACAAAAUCUGUCUAAGGCUCUAAGCUUCCCUAUUCCGCCACUCCAAGCAUCCUACCUGAUGAAAAUUGAUGAAAAUAAAAGAAAGAUAGAAAACAUUAACACCUUGGUAGGGAGUUUGGGGAAGAAAAGAAAAUAUUUGUGAGGAGAGAAAAGAAAAGAAAAGAAGUGCAUUUCUUUCUUCUUGAUUAGGACUUUAAAGAAAAAAGAAAAUAAUUUCUUUCCUUUUUUGUUGGAAGCAAAGAAGAAAGAAAGAAAAAAAAUAGUACAAUCUUCUUUUACUAUUAUACCCAAUUAAUCCCUCCAUCUCCCUCAAGUGCUCUCCUUCCCCAUAUAUCUCUAAAAAAAGAGAAGCAAAAAGAAAACAAUUUAAGUGGGAAAAGAUCUCAACUUCUUACUUUUUCCAUCUUUCUUUUGUUUCCUUUGAUUUUUUUUUCUAAGUUUCCCAUCGAUUUUGCCUUUGUUUUUCAUCCUCUAGAACCAAGAAAACCCUCCAUCUCCCUCAAGUGCUCUCC
rnacentral:lncRNA from 1 species